UUAAGAAGGCAAAUUUUACUUGAGUAAAUUACAAUCUGAGUAAUAGUACUUUUGAACUGUUUCCAGUCUGUCUGCAGGUCCGCCAGCUCUACACCACCACCCGGUUAGGCAUCUACACAGUUCUGUUUGAGAAGAUGACGAGACAGGAUGAGACUCCGCCCAACUUCCUCAUGAAGGGGUUAUGAGUCUGUUGUUUUUAAAUCCUUUCAAUAUUUGUUUAUGUGUGUAUUGUUGUAAUUUAAUGGCUGAGGCAACUAUAUGUGUAAUUUAAAUAUUUCUUAUAAAAUGCCUUGAUUGGCCACCGGAACCUUCGUAGGAACACCUGCCGAGGUCGCUCUGAUCAGGAUGACCGCUGACGGACGGCUCCAUGGGUCGAUGAGGAAAACGACGGUUGAAAGAGAUGGGACAAAAGGCGAAUUUAGUCUGUCUGCACAUCUGACUGCACAUCUGACUGCACAUUUAAUGAUGUGACUAAACUCAACAAAAAGAAGAAGAAACUGUAUUAUGAAGCCAAGAUCAACGAUAUAAAGAACGAUGGAAAAGACAAAUUCAACUCCAUCUUUCAUCUAAUCAGAUUCAUCACAAAACUAUUUGAUGUUGCAAAUUAUUUUAAGGAUUAGGUCAUUGUAAAAGUGGGCAGGAAAUGCCAUCAACGAACAGUGAGCCAUGGUAUUCAUACAUGACAAAACAAAUACUGAAGGAAAAACAUUGCAAGUUUGAAUUUUGUAAAGUAUAUAUUGAAACACCGACGGUAAGGUUUCAAUACUGGGGGUGCAGGCUACGCCUCUCCUUAUGUCACGAGUCCGACCGAGGGUGUUUCCCCUUCCCGGGCGGGUGGCGCUCGGCGGUCGUCGUCACCGGCCUAUUAGCUGCCACUGAUUGUUUUUCCUCCCCCUCCUUGUAUGUUUAGUGGUAGCACCUGUUCAUGUUUAAUUAGUUUGUCUUUAUUAGACAGCCGGCCCGCCUGGUUGUUGUGCGGGAUUAUUUCUAUGUAACCUUCGGCUCUGUUAUUAGAGGUACGUGUUAGUGCCGAGUCGUGAUUUGUUCUAUUGUACUUUUUGAUUCCCUGUGGUUGGGAACGUAACUUUUUGUGAGCACCCUGUGGUGCGUUGGUGCUAUUAAAAGACGCACAGCAUUGAA